CUCGGCCCCUAUCUCUACUAUCUCCUUCUAUAUUAUACUGAUGUGCUCCUCCAAUUCCACAAACCUGAUCACACUUCACAACCACUCCAAAACCCUAGAUCGUAUAUUCCAUUUUCACUAUCGUCUCCGUCUCCAGGUCACAUUCAUCGCAUCUGUAUCCCCUUCUCCCCUACACCACCACCACCCUCGAUCAAAAUCAUUUGUACCCCUACCACUUCCCCUCUCUUUUAGAUUCUUCCUCUCCCCUGUAAAAAGGAGUAAUUUCUCUGUUUCGCUCUCAUCUCCGUCUAUUGCUCAAAAAGCCAUAAACAUCACUAUUUUGCUCUUUCUCUGACAUGUAUCAACAAAGGCAUUUCAAAACCUCAAUCACAUACUACACUCACAAUGGGAUUCAAAAUUUGAAAUUGGAUUUCAUUCUCUCAACCACAUAUUCAAAUUUGAAAUUUUCAAAUCUGAAUUUCAUGUAAUUCUCUAUUUCUCUCUAAACCUCUUUACUGUAGUCGGCGACCUUCUAGGGUUCGCUAUCCCCUCCCUCAAUUUCUCUGUGAUAGAAGAUGAAGAGGAUGGCCGCCGUUUACACCCAUCAAUAUUUCUUUUGACUGUGAUUCAUCACAGACCUCCGCACACAAAUCUGCUAACAUCUCUGCUUCCUAGCUAAAGAUUUCCAUGUGACCUUUAAACAAUGUUUUUGCAGUAAUUUUCAAUUCCAUUUCCGUAUUAUUUAAAGAUGCUUAUAUGUGGAUAUGGGGAUAGGUAAAAUGAUUCCAUUAUGUUUUGGGGUUUAUGGAAAGGCUAUGAAGAAAUGGAGUAACCAGUUGUCAAAUAAGAAAAGCAUGUAGUUCUCCAUCAUAUAAGAUGAAAGCAGCUGCCCAGUUAUAUUAUCCUAGCUACUUUUAUUUUUGUGAGUCACCCAAUUAUAUUAUCCCAACUGAAUCGGUCAAAGUUGAAUCAAUCAUUCCUUACCUUCAAGUUGAUUGAAUCAGUCAACAUUAAAUAUGUUUUAUAUUGCACCACUCUCUCAGUUAUUUCACAAUUUCUUGGCUAGGUAAGUUUUUUCUUCACAAUUUCAUAAUUUCAUUGUUUUUCUUCACGAUUUCAGGUUGACUCACUUUCAGUUUCCUUGUAAUGAUUCCCUUGUGAUGUUUCCAGGAUAAAUCUAUAAGCUUGUGGGUUGUUUGGCAAGGAAAAACAGAUAAUCUGAUGAUGAAUCUCAAGAGCUCACACAUGCAGAAAAUUUUCAAAAAAUUCAAUUGGGAAUUUGAAGAUUAAGGAAGCCACUAUUGAUGUCGCAGAGGUUCAGACUUGUUGGAAUGAACUAGGCUUCCUCUGAAAGAGGAAAGUGAUGGAAGCUACUAACAUUGAGAAAUUAAUUUAAUCAAUCAAGGGAUUUAUAUGUUAAAACCACCAAAUAUGAAGCACAUGCCAAUGUGGUGGAGUCGUUCAAGGUGAAGUAAUUAUGUGGGAUUUUUUAGUUGGGGUUUCAGUUUAGUUUGUUAUAUAUGGUGGAGCUACUAAUUUUACAGGCUAAAUAGAAAGGUUUUGAAUAAAAUAAACCAAAACUAGAAAUAAUGUGUUAAAUGCAUUUUGCUUGAUACUCGAGAGAUCAUAUCCUGCAGGGAGUGAGCUUUUCCUUAAUUAUUAGUUUAUUGGAAUACUUCUAAGGAAAUAUGACCUUUCGUGUAA